AGCCUGCAGAACUGUGAGUCAAUUAAACCUCUUUUCUUUAUAAAUUGCCCUGUCUCAGGUAGUUCUUUACAGCAAUGUGAGAAUGGACUAAUACAAAGGUAGUGUUUUUCUUUUCUUUUUUUUUUUUUUUUAAUAGAGUGAGAAUAAUCCCUCUCACCCUAUCUCUUAGUUUUCUUCCAUGCUCUUUUUGAAUGAAAGCCUCUCUCCACUUUAGCCAGAAAACCAACCAUAAUUAUUGCCCUGUUUUCCUAACAGGGCAGUGGACUAUGGAAUGAGAUGAGAAACUUGUGUUAAUGACAACUAAAUUACUGGCCCAGUGAUUCCCUUUUUCUCCCUUCAUUAAUAUCUACAAGAAACCAGUAUUUCCAGUGCAUUGGCCUCGUUUGAUGUUAGGACCUGGAAGAAAAAGAUAGAACAGCACAGUUGAAAAGAAAACCUCUGUGGAAGCAACCCAGAUGCCCAUUGAUGGACGACUGGAUCAAAAACAUGUGGUGUCAGCCCAAGAGAAGUUAAAGCACAUGCCCAUACCAAUAUUUUCAUGUGAAUAACACUCUCCAUAAUAACCAAAAAGUGGAAACAGUACAAAUCUCCAACAACUGCUGAAUGGAUAUACAAAAUGUGGUAUAUCCCUACAAUGGAAUACUAUUCAGUAAUGAAAAAGGAAAGAAGGACGGAUACAUGCAACAACAUGGAAUAAUCUCCAAAACCUUAUGCCAACAGAAAAAAGACGUAAAACAGCACCAUCCAAACUUGAGGUUUCAAUAUUGAGACAGAUGAUGCCACGGACACACCAAGAGGGUAUGAAAAAGUUUAUAAUGCACACAAUGAGACUUUCUGGGGAUGGCAGAACAGACUUUCCAAAUUGGUCUGGUAAUGACUUGAAUAGCGAGAAAGGGGAGACCAGCUUGGGGUUUUUAUUGCGGUUAGGUGGCAGGACUCGGGUGAGGGUUCUCCUUAUGGGCAGGACUUGCAUGAUUUGAAACUCCCACAAUUACCAAAGAAGGGGAUAUCUGGAAUUUAUUAUAGGCUUCUCCAAAUGUGAGCUGAAGGGGAUGAAAGAUAGGUGUGACUUCAAAGCC
rnacentral:lncRNA from 1 species